GAAACCCUUAAAUCAAACCACUCAAAAUCCUUCAAAUUUUUCAUCUUCGAUAUUAUCACUCUAAACACUUCACCUUUCAACCUCACCAAGGAUUCAACAAGUUUCGCUUUAGGUUUUUCAUCCUCUACAAGCAUUUUCAAGGUAAAAUUUUUUUUGCCUUAUUUCGAUUUUAAACCAAAAUCUGUGUUCAAUGCUUGUUUGAAAUUUGUUAUUAAGUUGAUUUAGAACUGUCAUUUUGUAAUCUUGUUGCAUGAGGUUACCCAAACGCAGAACUUACUUGAAAACUUCUCUCAAAAACCUUGCCCACAAAGUGUUCGAUAAAAUUCUCCAACGAACUUUCUAAGUUGUCUAGUGAGUCUAUUGCUUCUAGUUAGUUAACAUACCUCUUAAGAAACACUCCCGACCCAAUACCUCUUUAUCUAAUCCUUUGAGUUGCCAAAAUGAUUCUUUAAACAAUUUUUUUCGAAAUGCCAAUGAACGAUUUCAUUUUUAUAAUUAUUUUUCAACUCAUAAAGUCAAUGUUUUUAGACCUCUUGAUUUUGAUUCU
rnacentral:lncRNA from 1 species